CAUUUCACCACUUCCCCCGCUCACAAAGUGACAAAAAAAAUCACACCCACCACUCAAACUAAUAAUGGGAAACAUACUGCUAAAAUAUGGCCGAAAUAAUUCAGAACUUAAUCAAGCACAAGAAAUUGCAGUGACAGAAUUACCAGAUGAACAUCAAAAUUUCACCUGUGAAAUUUGUAUCGAGCCAAUGUCGUUACCCGACAGAAAAUUUAAGAACCAAAAUCGUUGUGUUCAUCCAUUUUGUAUCGACUGUAUUGAAAAAUACAUUUCCGUCAAGCUAGAGGACAAUAUCGGCGACAUUCCAUGUCCCUCUCUGAAUUGUAGCCAGUUUUUGGACCCUAUUUCUUGUAGGAAUCUUUUGGGUCCUCACCUGUUUGUUAAAUGGUGCGAUGUGUUGGGUGAGUCCUCUGUUUUAGGGUUGGCGCAAUGUUAUUGUCCGAAUAGGAACUGUUCGGCUUUGAUUUUGAACGAGUGUGGUGAAAAUGCAAAGCGAUCGAAGUGCCCUAAUUGCAAGAGGUUAUUUUGCUUUCGCUGCAAGCUUCCAUGGCACGCUGGAUUACGCUGUGAAGAGAGUGGGGGACUGAGGGACGAAAACGAUAUCGCUUUUCGUGUGCUUGCUAAGAGUAAAAAGUGGAAGAGGUGUCCUCAGUGUCGCCACUUUGUUGAACUUAAUGAAGGUUGCAAAUUUGUCACCUGCAGGUGAAGAAUGUGGACAGGAAAGGCAGGACUUUGAGGACUUGCAUUUAGCUAUCAUAACCAAAAGAAGAAAGAAAAAAGGAUGAAAUAUUGAUCCCUCCCCUUCAAUCUAUGGCUCCAUGGAGCGAGGACCAAAAAGCUUCUGUUUGGCAGCAGAAUCGUUAGCUAUCAUUGGUGUGAUGCCCUUUUCUGCUACAACUGCGGAAGACGAGUUAAUGGGUACAGGUGUGAUUGUGAUUCUAGGCACUCCAGAUAUUUGAUUUGUUCUCUGUUUUCAUUUGUUAUCCUAUUUCUCCUUUUCGUCUGCUUGAAUGCCUGGAAUGUCUAUCACUAUACUAGUAGAAGGCUUAAAAACUAGACUUGUGUAUAGGCAUUUACCUCUAUUAUCUUUGAGGUUCAGUGAGAAAUAUUAGAAAAUUUGCACGCUGUGUGCACUUGAGGCAGAGAAAACAGCGUAAACAAGAAAACAGAAACCACAAAGGAAGUUUGGACAGAUGGAAUCUAAGUAGAGUUAAGUUCUCACAGAUUAUUGACUUGCUAAUUCAAAUUGUUUCAAAAGCCA